GGUAUAUUUAUAUAGUAUAGGAUUUUCCAACAAAAGUGCUUUAUGUUACUAAAUAAAAUUUAAAUUAUAGAAGUUAAAUUUAAUUAAUUUUAUUUAAAAAUUUAGACUUUGUUACUUCUCUUGGCGAAACUUGUGCCAGCAGCCGCGGUUAUUCAAGUGAGAGUAAGAAUUCGAUUGGAAAUAAAAAAAUUUUUUUUAAUUUAAAAGUUUAUUUAAGGUGGAAUUUAAUAUUUUUGUUUAAUUUUUUGAUUUUUAGAAAUUUUUUUAAAGACUAGGAUUAGAUACCCUAUUAUUUUAAAAAGUUAUUAAGGUAGUAAGUAAAAUGUAUUAAAUCUAAAGAUUUUGGCGGUGUUUUAAGCUUUUUAGAGGAAUUUACUCUUUAAUUGAUACAACACAGACAUCUUACUUAAUUUGGUAAUAACAGUUUGUAUAUCGCUAUCAUUAAAUAAAGUUGAAUAAUUUUUAUUAAUUUUAAGAUUAUUAUUAAUGUUAGGUCAAAAUGCAGCUUAAAAUUAAGGUUGAAGUAAAUUACAUUUAUUUAUAUUAAUGUAUGAAUGAAAAGUGUUUUUGAAUUUAAAAGUAAGAUGGAAUUAUAAUGUUUAUCUGAAUUUAGUUCUAAAAUAUGCACAUAUCGCCCGUCACUCUCAAUUUUGAGAUAAGUCGUAACAAAGUAAAAGUACUGGAAAGUGCUUUUA
rnacentral:ncRNA from 1 species